rnacentral:rRNA from 1 species
UACGUAGGGGGCAAGCGUUGUCCGGAUUUAUUGGGCGUAAAGAGCGUGUAGGCGGCCAUACAGGUCCGUUGUGAAAACUGGAGGCUUAACCUCCAGACGUCGAUGGAAACCGUAUGGCUAGAGUCCGGAAGAGGAGAAUGGAAUUCCCGGUGUAGCGGUGAAAUGCGCAGAUAUCAGGAAGAACACCAAUGGCGAAAGCAGCUCUCUGGGACGGUACUGACGCUGAGACGCGAAAGCGUGGGGAGCGAACAGG